rnacentral:rRNA from 1 species
CUACGGGAGGCACCAGUAAGGAAUAUUGCGCAAUGGAGGCAACUCUGACGCAGCCAUGCCGCGUGCAGGAAGAAGGCCUUAUGGGUCGUAAACUGCUUUUAUUUAGGAAUAAACCCUCACUCGUGAGCGAGGCUGAAGGUACUGAAUGAAUAAGCACCGGCUAACUCCGUGCCAGCAGCCGCGGUAAUACGGAGGGUGCAAGCGUUAACCGGAUUUAUUGGGUUUAAAGGGUGCGCAGGCGGGCUAUUAAGUCAGUGGUGAAAUCCCGGGGCUCAACUCCGGAACUGCCAUUGAUACUGAUAGUCUUGAGUUUGGUUGAAGUGGGCGGAAUGUAGCAUGUAGCGGUGAAAUGCAUAGAUAUGCUACAGAACACCAAUCGCGAAGGCAGCUCACUAAGCCAAAACUGACGCUCAUGCACGAAAGCGUGGGGAUCAAACAGGAUUAGAUACCCCAGUAGUC